rnacentral:rRNA from 1 species
CCUACGGGAGGCAGCAGUAGGGAAUCUUCCACAAUGGACGCAAGUCUGAUGGAGCAACGCCGCGUGAGUGAAGAAGGGUUUCGGCUCGUAAAACACUGUUAUAAGAGAAGAACGGCACUGAGAGUAACUGUUCAGUGUGUGACGGUAUCUUACCAGAAAGGAACGGCUAAAUACGUGCCAGCAGCCGCGGUAAUA